UGUUCUAAUCUCUCAUACGUUCGUCCGUGAGUGUGGUGCAAGGUGCGAUGAUGGUGCUGAGAAUUAUCUGCUUGUGUGUGUAUGCUUGGGUGAGCCGGCCUGGCGUACGCUACGGUGCUGCUGCUGCUGCGAGUCAACCUGGCGUAAAACAACUCGACCAAGUCGCGGCCGACGUCCUACAACAUCUCGUGGGUAGGCUCCCGCCCGCGGUGGUGCUUCUCGUCGUCGUCCGGGGCCAACAGCAGGCGCCCGCGGUGGCGGCGGUGCAGGCGCUAGGCGACGCUGCGGUAGCGCCGCAGGCUGCUCCGGUCGCUCCACUUCUUCCGCGAGCGGUACCGGCGCCGGCGGCCGCUGUGCCGGUCCCGAGGGAAGAACCGGCG
rnacentral:rRNA from 1 species